CGCCUGCAGCUGCCGGUUCGCUCCGUCUGCGGGAAACACGUGCAGAAACGCCAAACAGCGACCGGUAUUACCGGGUCGCGGAAACAGACAGGCCCUCUGACGUCAGCGGGGGUCCCGUCUCCGCCUCCCAGACACGAGGUGUCCUUCCUGCUCACAGGGGGGUUCCUGACUGUCGAGCCGCUGCUCUUGGCACGAGAGGUCCCUCCACCCAACACCGGAGCCAGACUCUCACUCUACCCUAGUCGCUCCUGUUCCCUAAACCGAUCCUCCUCCACCUCUUUUGCGGAAAAAUUCCUCAUUGAAGAGGCGCGGGUCGCGUCGUUGAGCGCAGCCCCCCCUGCCAGACCCCUGUCCUGCCCUGCUCGGCUCACAGUUCGGGACUGACGGUUUUCCCGGAGGUUCCUUGUUGUCGGGUCACGUUGGACCCCUUUGCAGCUGCAGACCGGGCUUCCCCCGCACAAACCCGCAGCAGGGGCUCAGCGGCGGGACAGUGCACGGGGCGGGGCUCCCCACAAACGUCCCAGGUCCCGGAGGGAGAUUAGUGAAGGGGGGAUCUCUCAUUCCACAUUCAUCACGCGCUGAAACACGAGGAAAGGGGUCAACAGGAGACAGGACAAGGAAUAAACAUAAAAACAAAGCAUAUGGAUGACUUUUAAAUACCAAAGCACACAAAAUGUUUUUUUUUCUUUGCAAGACACUAAACUGCCUUAAAUAAUGGUAUUUUUUAUUUGAAAAUUAUUUUUUCUGUUUAACCAAAAUGUUUCCCCUUUAACUACAAACCUGGUUUGUUCGCUUGUAAACACGGCAGUUUCUAAGUAUUUAUGAUAGUUAACCCUUAAAUCUUUUAAUGAAUAAUUAUUUAGGAUAAUUCAUGUUCAUUCUUUAUUGUUCAUCAGUGAUGAUAGUUACCUGUUUUGGGACGUUAGCUUCUGCUAGCUAGCACGCGGGUUGGGAUGGAGGUCCUGUUCAAAAGAUUAAAACUUUAUGCAUACAAAAUGACAAUUUUUUUACUCACCAAAUUAGUCUGGGAAAAUGUUAACAGCAGAAUAUAAUG